CAAUUUCCAUAAGGUGAAUACAGAAAGGAACUACAAGCAUUGGAAAUGAAUGGGGGAGUUUAAUUCAGCCGCGUUUCACUCCCACUGAGGAGGCAUACAGAUGGCUGCACAGAACUCAGCAAAAACAGAGCCAGGAGUCAGGGAGAGGGAGACUUCAACUGGGGUUUCGAGUGGAGUUGCUCAUUUAUUUCCCCCUGUAUCAGUCUGCCUCCUGGGAUAUCGCAUGGACAGCUGGCCUAGGCAGGAUUUUGCAAAAGGAAAGAAGAAUAUUCACACUAAGGUCCCUGAAGCCACACUUCUGCAAACUAGCAGCUACCAAAAAGGUCAUCACUGGCUGCAGUCCCUGAAGUUUGUCCCUCUCCUGGCUCUGGUUACCCAUAAGGUCACCACAUACAUCCUCAAGGACACCUCGUCACAUCUCCCAUGCCAGUGUCUACCACUCUUUGCCAAGGUAUACAAGUGGUAGACUCUGCAGAAAGAAACUAGCAACAAGGAAACUGCAUGCAGUUUUUCUAAAAUGGAGUUUUGCUAUGAAGAAUGUGAUUAAAGCUCUCAUAUGAGAGCAAGAACCAAAUUCCUGAAUGAUUUCUAUUAGGAGACAAUGGACUAGAGAAGUAACUCCAUGGAUUCAGUAGGAGUACACAAGGGAUAGGGUCAAAACAAGUAUUCUCAUUUUGACUGGACUCCCUGCUUCAGAAUUCUGUAUUUGGAGCACUUCAGGAGAUGCCCGAAGUUUCUACUACCAUACUUAAAGAGUCACCAAAGCAGGAAAUGUGAGCUCAUGCCAGCUUUCUUAGGGGGAAAAAGAAGAUCUUCAAAGCAACAGUAUAAUUCUAGCAUCUCCAGAAAUGCUAAAGCCCUGACAAUUGUCUGAAGAAAAGUGUUGCAACACAGGCAUAAAUUCAACCUGUAUGAGACAUUAUACAGAAAGAAGACUCCAGAAGAGUAGAUGGCCUGUGUCUUCACUUCUCUGGAGCAGGCUGAUUUCAUUUGACUGCCGCAGUACACAGCAUCCAAUCCUGUGUCUCUGCCAAGACCUUUACUGCCCUGAGACAUAAUUAUUACUCUUGGGAAUUUUUUCAUCUAUAAUGUGAGGAAUGAAUCACAGACCAGCAGACAAGUCAUUUUUGGCAUGAACUUGAAUUGCAUAGCCGGACACAUCUGGCUCUGUAAAAUGCAGAGCAGUAUCAGUCUUCAUACCUGGCAGGAUCUAUUCUUGUUCUGAGCUGUUCCCAAAACUCUAUGUAUCAGGGUUUGUUUUGGAGAGCAAUUCAAAUAAGGACCUUGAAAGGAACUAACUUGUUUAGACUGCAAGCAGUUAAAGGACUAUAUAACCCAGAACUAAACUGUGAGAUAAGGCUUUUUGGUAAAGUAGAAUCACUGCUGGGUUGAGCACUCCAAGUACGCUAAAUUAUUUUUUGGAGAAAAGUCUGAAGUGCUUCAUGCCACUGCUCAGUUUGCCAGUGUCCACUGCAAAGAUGAGAUCCCUCCUGGAGACUGUCGCACCACUCUGCACUCACACGACAUCCAUGGGAACUGGCGAGCACCAACAAAGAUUGUGCAGAGAGGCCUAAAAGGAUCUGGCCACACCUAGCCACAGUGCCUGCUUGUCACCCAGAGCCUUUGGUGGAAGUGGAUUUCUUCAGGCAGUGGAGGAAGAUUCACUUCAUACUUCUGCUGUGAAUUCCUGCCUUCUCAUUGUACCUCUAGUACUGCCUUCAUACGAUGAAUUGAGUUACCAUAUGAUUUAGACUGUCUGGAGCAUCGUAACACUUGUACGCUCACUUCCACAGUCUCCUGCCAAUGAUAAAACAUGAUGUAAUGAGAAGAUGGCAGACAGGCAACUACAAAAAUCGUUUGGAUGAAAAGGAUAUAACGAAAGCAUUGAGACAAACCUAGACAGGAAAGCUACUGUGUCAUAUCUCCUUCAGUCGUAAGUGUGAUGAGAACAUAGGAUGAAAGGACAUCUUUGCUGCAAUUAAAACCUUUAUGAGAAGAGGCUAUGGGAAAAAAAUGUCUUGGAGAAACAAACAAACUAAGGUGACUCAGAGGAGUAACUAAUGUCAGUACUCUCAUUUCACUGCAACUCAAAGAUCCUGAGUGGCCAAACUAGAUGACUACUUAGCAUGUGAUAUAAUGAUCAUAGCCCAAGGACAUUCACAACACUUUUCUGUAAUUGCUGCUGCAAUACCUGUGAUUCUAACAACACACAGAAUCCCUCUACAUUUACAUGGUCAAAUCAUCUGUUUUAGGUAAUUGUGCCAUGAGUAGCAUAUGUGUUCUGUUUCAUCUUGAUGCCAAAAUGAGAACUAAUACAUUUAAGAAGUAAAAAAAAUAUAAAGGAUACUGCAUUUUUAGCAAUGUCGAAAUUCUCGAAUAGUAAAUGAUUGUGAUAAGAACCCACAACUGUUACCUAAAGACGUUGCCCAGUGUUUAACUGAACGUUUGUGGAUGAAGCUUUAUGAUAAGAAACACAUCUUAACGUUCUAUAUCAUUUCUUCUGGGAAAUCAUUCCUAGAAUUUCUGUACAAUAUAUAUUUUUUUCCUUUCAUGUAAGUUCUUAAAAGUGGCAUUACAAACCUCCAAGAAACACUGUUUACAUCACCAUUUGCUCACAACAGAUUAUUGGUUACUGGCAAAAUUAUGUUCUCAUGGAGGCUCAAGGGAGGCCUCAUGGCGGCUGCAGCUCCUCACAGGGAGCAGAGGGCAGUGCUGAGCUCUGCCCUCUGACAGCGACAGGGCCCGAGGGAACGGCAUGGAGGUGUCAGGGGAGGGGCAGCUGGGGG
rnacentral:lncRNA from 1 species